UACGUAGGGUGCAAGCGUUGUCCGGAAUUAUUGGGCGUAAAGAGCUCGUAGGCGGUCUGUCGCGUCGGCUGUGAAAUCCCGAGGCUCAACCUCGGGUCUGCAGUCGAUACGGGCAAACUAGAGUAUUGCAGGGGAGACGUGGAAUUCCUGGUGUAGUGGUGAAAUGCGUAGAGAUCGGGAGAACACCAGUGGCGAAGGCGGCCCUCUGGGCCGGGCCUGACGCUGAGACGCGAGGGCGUGGGGAGCGAACGGG
rnacentral:rRNA from 1 species